AUGACCUUCACCAUCAUCUUCAUCUCAACACUUUUAUUCUUGUUACAAGGGUGUAAAUCACAGAUCACAGUAACUCAAAGCCCUUCAGUAAAACUUGCAGCACGAGAAGACUCUGUUACUCUGAGAUGUUCUCUAUCACGUCCUGCUUCAGACUGUAUUCCAGCUUGUGUGUCCUGGUACUUACAGAAACCUGGAGAAGCUCCUAAACUCCUGAUAUAUCUGACUAACAGCCUUCAGUCUGGAACUCCAUCAAGAUUCAGUGGCAGUGGAGCAAGAUAUGGUACAGAUUUUACUCUGAGCAUCAGUGGAGUUCAGACUGAAGAUGCAGGAGAUUAUUACUGUAUGAGUAGACACAGCAUCAGUGGUAGCUAUGUGUUCACACAGUGA